UUCUGCUUUAUCAUCGUCCGAGUGCCCUGCUCAGGGUGCAGCUGGCCUGCCCUGUGCCCUCCGGGGACCAGCAGAAGGCAAGGGCCCGGGGGACGCAAGCCCACACCGGGGAGGAGGGGAGGGCAGUGGGGCGUGGAUACACCCCGCCCUCUGCCCCUGGGGCUCCCUGCAGGCCCCCACUCGCCACACUUGGGGAUCCGCUCUGGUGAAUAUUUGUUCUUGACCCGUGUUCCCUGGUGACGAGUACGCCAGCGAAGGUGUUGAGCCAAGGCAGAGACACGCGGGCAGCGAGCUGCAGCUCCUGAAGAGCAAGCCCUGUUUGCUCAAGGUUAUGACGUCUGCCAUUUGAUGUUGCAGGAGUUUGUGGGAAGCAUUCGGAAUUCUUCCUUUUAGGUCUGCGGGCAGAGGUUUCAACCACCGGGCGGCUUGGCCCAGGCUCGGGGACCCAGGAGAGGCGAUGCCGGGGCUGCGGGGACAAAGCACCAGGGGUUGUGGGCCGAGGCCCUCGUCCUUCCUGCACCGGGGCCCAGGAGGGAGCUGCGGGGAGGCGCCUCCAGGUCCUGGGCUUUGUCCCUCUGCGCGACUUGGGACAACCGCCUGGAUACAAGGUGGCCAGUUCACUCUGGGCCUGUUCACUGCAGCAGCUCUGACCGAGGCCUGCCUCCGUGGAUUUUAGAGACCAGGGCACGGCUUUGCCUGCGGAAGCAUCCCACAGAGGCCUGAUGCCACGGAACUGAGGCCCACCUUGCCGGGAGCGUGCGGUUUUCCUGGGGGAGCAGCGAGAAGCACCCUGUAGACAAUCGAUGUCUAAAGAAAAGGGAUCAAACCGCGCGCGGAGCCCACAAAGCGAACGGCGGGGGCGUCGGGAAACCGGCCGAGGUUGCCUGCGGGACAGUUAAAGGAAGCUUGAGGCCCCAGGUCCUGCUGGGCCGGGACCUCGGGGGGACUGAGGUGGUGGCAGGGCCCUGGGAGAGCCCAGUGUGCAGCCGCUGACAAGGCGCCUCUGGUGUCAAGCCUGUGGGCCCAGAGAUGCCCUGGGGCCGAAUCUGUGCUGACAACCUCAAGCCAGAAAGCGCACCAAGGAAUAAGCCCCGGAAAGCAGCAAACUGCGAAGGUGUCCUCGGGCAGCUCUGCAGGUGCCUCCCCAACCCCACUCCUUUGCCAGAGCGUCGUGAAAUGUGUUGGGCUCUGAUGCUCGCGUUGUGUCUUCGUUGCUGUCCUGGUUUGGGUCAUUUAUCAUCAAACCGCACUAGACACGCCCAGCUAUUCAGAUCCAGGACAGUAAAAACGGAAGCCCUGGACCCCCUGUCCGGUGGCUUUCUAGUGCCAACAGCAGGUUUCCCGCCGGGGAAGGAUCCUCUUACAAUUGUUCAAGCACUGAGUCCUUGACACAAUAAAGUCUCAUAUCUAGAAAUCUGUCUUUCCAAACAUCCUAUUUAUUCUGCUUAUAAAAUCUAAU